UACUAAAGAUGGCAGCACAUAAGUUGAGAUUGUGUACUAAGUUUAAUCUAUAAAUCUAUGUUAUAGGUUAAAUAUGAGUGUACGAUUAAAACAGUUGUACUCGUUUCAUUUAUCAACAAAUUUUUGAAAACGAUUAAAAAAAAAAAAAAUAAGUCGUUUAGAGAAAUACGAAUUAAUAAUAGAAAAUGGGUGUACCAGCAUUUUUUAGAUGGUUGAGUCGAAAAUACCCUUCUGUAAUAGUAGAAUGUAUCGAGCAGAAGCCGAUAACUACGAAUGGUAUACGAGUACCAGUGAAUUCGGCAGAACCAAAUCCAAAUGGAAUAGAAUUUGAUAACUUAUACCUUGAUAUGAAUGGCAUUAUACAUCCUUGUACUCAUCCUGAAGAUAGACCUGCACCACAAAAUGAGGAUGAAAUGAUGGAAGCUAUUUUUGAAUGCAUUGACCGUUUAUUUCGCAUUGUAAGACCAAGAAAAUUACUUUACAUGGCAAUUGAUGGAGUUGCACCCAGAGCAAAAAUGAAUCAACAAAGAUCAAGACGAUUUAGAGCAUCAAAAGAAGCAAGUGAAAAAAUUAACGAAAUAAAAAGAAUACGUUCUGAAUUAUCUCUUAAAGGAGCAUCUUUACCUCCUGAAAAACCAAAAGAAGAGCAUUUUGAUAGCAAUUGCAUUACACCGGGCACACCAUUUAUGGCAAGAUUAUCAAAAUGUUUGCAUUAUUAUAUACAUGACCGUUUAAAUAAUGAUCCUGGAUGGAGAAAUAUAAAAGUAAUUUUAAGUGAUGCAAAUGUGCCAGGAGAAGGAGAACAUAAAAUAAUGGAUUUUAUACGUAGACAAAGAGCACAACCUGAUCAUGAUCCUAAUACACAACACGUUUUAUGUGGAGCUGAUGCUGAUUUAAUUAUGUUGGGUCUUGCAACUCAUGAACCUAAUUUUACUAUUAUUCGUGAAGAGUUUAAGCCAAAUAAACCAAAACCAUGUGAUAUAUGUGGUCAAUUAGGACAUGAAAUGCAGGAAUGUACGGGUGCAGAGCCUAAUCAGAGGGAAGAAGCGAAUACUUUUGGAUCUGAAUGCCAGUAUAUAUUUGUGCGAUUAAAUGUACUCAGAGAAUAUUUAGAAAGAGAAUUGCAAAUGCCUAAUCUACCAUUUAAAUACGAUUUCGAGCGAGUUAUCGAUGAUUGGGUGUUCAUGUGUUUCUUCGUAGGAAACGAUUUUCUUCCUCAUCUUCCAUCUUUGGAAAUUAGAGAAGGGGCAAUAGAUAGACUUGUUAAUUUAUAUAAAAAAACAGUAUAUAAAACAGGAGGAUUUUUAACAGAUAGUGGAGAUGUUAAUUUAGAUAGAGUUCAACUUAUAAUGUCUGAAUUAGGCGAUGUUGAAGAUGAAAUUUUCAAGAAAAGACAACAGAAUGAAUUAGCCUAUAAACAACGUGAAAAAGAUAAAAAAAGAAGAUUAUUGGGAAUCAGUAAUAAUAAACCAAAAUGGAUUCCUACGGGACAAUUUGCACCGACGCGUAUUGGUGAACAUAUUAAACCGGUACAAAAUGCGCGUUAUGAAGCUUACCAAAUGCGUAUUCAUGGUCAAAAUUAUCAUACAAGUGAAAAAGGAAAUGCUAAGGAGAUGUUAGAAAGUAUGAUACGUCCUGAAAAUUCGACUGAUCAUGAACGAAAACGAAAAAGUGAAGUACUUGAAGAUGAUUCAGAUGAUGAUCAAUCUCACGAUGAAGUUAGAUUAUGGGAAGAUGGUUUUAAAGAUCGUUAUUAUGAAUCAAAAUUUGAUGUUUCUCCUGAUAAUUUGGCAUUCAGAAAUAAUGUGGCAUUGCAAUAUGUACGUGGUUUGUGUUGGGUUUUACGAUAUUAUUAUCAAGGUUGUGCUUCAUGGAAAUGGUAUUUUCCGUAUCAUUAUGCUCCAUUUGCUAGCGAUUUCAUCAAUAUUGGCGGUCUUUCUACCGAAUUUGAAAAAGGAACUAUACCAUUCCGUCCAUUAGAACAAUUGAUGGGUGUAUUUCCAGCGGCUAGUAGUAAACACGUUCCUGUACCAUGGGCAAAAUUAAUGAGUGAUCCAAAAUCACCAAUUAUUGAUUUUUAUCCAGAAGAUUUUAAAAUUGAUUUAAAUGGUAAAAAAUUUGCUUGGCAAGGAGUAGCUUUACUUCCUUUUGUGGAUGAAAAACGUUUAUUCAAGGCAUUAGAGCCAUAUUACGAUUGUUUGACAGAAGCAGAAAAAAUACGAAAUGUUCGAGGAGAUGAUCGAUUAUAUGUAGGACUGGGUAAUAGUGGUUAUAAUUUUAUGAAGGGACUUUAUACGAAUCAUGUACGAUCCGAUGCAGAAACUUCAAUAUGUAUAGAUGGUAUGCGAGGUACGGUUUUAUUGACAGAAGAUUGUGUCGGAGACGGAGCUACUUUACCUUCGCCUAUAAAUGGAUUAUUACCAAUUAGGAAUAAUAAAGUGUAUUGUAUUAAAUUCAGAGAUCCAAAAUAUAGUAGUAAUUUUAUUUUCCCUGCGAAAAAAUUGAAAGGUGUUAGAGAACCACCAAAAGUUUUGAAACCUCAAGAUUUUGAUCAAAUGAAUCGUAAUACUGGAAAUACUUGGAAACCACAAAUUGGUUUCACUUCUUCGACACAAAUAGCUUCAUUAACUGAGGCAGGCAAAAGAAUACUUGGGCAUUAUACGAACCAUAAUAGAGUGCCACCAUCAUACAACCCAAUACCAAUACCACAAACAUUAUAUUCACAGCAUCACGGUUACCAAAGUACGAAUUAUCAAGGAGGAUACGAUGGUGGACAUAACCAGCUUGCAAUGGUGCCUGGUCCAUGGGCAAGGGGAUAUGGCACUCCGCACAAUUAUCACCAACGUUAUCCGGAGUAUCAGCAAAAGAAUAAUUAUAAUGUUCAGCAAUAUGGGCGAAAUAAUUAUCAAAAUCCACAAUAUAGUAGUUAUGGUUCGCAGUAUAAUCAACAACGGAAUUAUUCUUCUAACUACCAAGGGAAUAGUGGUGAAAGUGGGGGAAGUAGGGGAGGAGGAUGGAGACGGUCAACGUAGACCUUUCUCUAUUUUUGAUUAAUGCCAUCACAGAUCUUGAAUUUAGAUUUAUAAGAUUUUUCGUUUAUAAUCUAGAACUCUGGAAUUUAUGUUUAGAUUCAGGAAUCUAUCAACAAAUAUAAUAGAUGCAUAAUAUGAUCUAUGAUGGCAAUUAUUAUUCUAUAACUUAGGAACAUAAGCAGUAUCAAGUAUAAUUUUAUAUGAACUUUAAUGUGAAUAUACAUAUUCACAAGAAACUGUAUGAUAACAACCAUCGCUGAAGAUUGCACCUUGGCUAUAAAAAUUCAGAUAGAAAUAGAAGGAACAAUCUUUAAGCGAACGCGACUUGUUAACAUAAAUUGAAUUGUACAAUCAAAACUCAAGUAAUCAUGUUAAAUGUUUUUCUUGUAUGAUUAUUGUUAGUCAAUGCAAUUUAGUUCACAUAAAAAAAUUUUAAACUUUGUGAAGAUUAUUCAUCUAUUCUCGACGUCAGUCAGUUUAAUUAUAUAUUCUGUUAUUACAAUACCAUGAUUAUAUCUAAUCAUUGUUUGUAAUAUGGAAUAUUAAUUCAAACAUUAUUCAUUCCUUAGUAGAUUUCGUCAUAUAUAAUACGAUACGAUGAAUAAUCUCAUUUUGUUAAAAAAUUUUAACCUUAAUUUUAUAGCCUUGUUGUCAUGACUUCAGUUUCAUCGGAUAUCCAUCGUGUAUACAUAUCGUUCGUGUACAACCAAUUGAAAGGAAUAUAUAUAUAUAUAUAAAUCCUUUUCAUUAUACACUAACUUGCACAUCACACGUGGAAACUUUUUUAUUGUAUUCACUUGAACAAAAAAAAAAAAAAAAAA
rnacentral:misc_RNA from 1 species